CAGCUGAUUCUCCGCUACCGGUAGACCCUUAAUCAGGUCGAAAAGCCGCCUUAGAGGGGCGGCUACUGCUGAGGAGGUCCUCGUCAUCUGUGGGAGAGCGGCAGCUUCUUCCACAGACGGAGAUUGCUCCUUUGGGCCGAUGGUGGAAAGAACGGCCAGUAAAAUGGCCGUUCACCUUGCCGCUGUAACCAGAAGUCAGAAGAACAUCUAAGUACAGGAACCACUGUGGCUGAGCUGGGUUAGAUGAAUCUGCUGCUGGAUAAACCACGGAGGUCAUUGUCCCUGAUAUGAAAAGGAGGCAAGGUUGGGCUAAAAUUCUCCUGGUGUGGAAUGCCUAAGAUUAAAAUCCUCACUGCAAAUAUCAGAUUGGGUUUAAAAUUCAAGUUUGAAUAUUGGCACUGCAAAUGGAAUCUCCUUCCCAGGAAGAAAAAUGAAGAGUGGCAAGUGAAAAUUC